GCCUGGGUGGCUCAGUCGGGUGAGCGUCCGACUUCAGCUCAGGUCAUGAUCUCGUGGUCUGUGGGUUCGAGCCCCACGUCAGGCU
rnacentral:tRNA from 1 species